GAUUUUUAACUCCAUAGAGCAUCUGCAUCAGAUAUGACAACAUUUCAAACUUUUUGUAUCUUAGUCUCCUUCUUGAGUGAAUAUAUAUACAAGUGUGCCGGGAUAAGAGUGGUGAUCACACAGCAUGAAGCUCUGAGCAGAGUGCAAUAACACUGUGUCAUAAAGCCCGCUCUCGUGUCGUGGUGAUGUGUGUAAACAGCGGGGCUGACCUCGCCUGUGCAAGGCUUCAUCAGCUCGUCUACAUGCAACGGCUCUAUAGUUAACUUAAGUCAAAUUUAAAUUAAAUGUUGUACUACAAAUAAAUACUGUGUUAUUUUUA